CCGGGCGCUGCCCGCUCUUAGCGCCCCCCUGUGCGCGGCCCAGGGCGGCGGCGGUGUAUUGUAUGAACGAGGCGGAGCUGGUGGAGGUGGCCUUGGCGGUCCUGGCAGAGAAUCUACAUUGCGAGGAAAGUGAAGAGAAGGCCCAGUCUGGGAGCAGAGAGGAACAAGAGCUCCAGCCAACACUAAACGAGGCUUCUGGGAGCAAGGCCAACACGGGGGAAGGCAGCGACCACAGUCCGGUGCUGCCAUCCCCUCCUGGUGCUGGUGCUGUUGCCGACACAGGGAGCACAGGCGGGGAGAACUCUGAAGACGACGUUCUGAAAUAUGUCAGGGAGAUCUUUUUCAGCUAACAUCUCCUCUGGGACUCCCCAGGAGUAGAGGGGACAGUGGGGCGAGUGUCCCUUCCCAUGGUGCUGAGGACAGUGGGAGGAGGGCCUGGAGCGGACUGUGUGUCUGCUGUGCUGGUGGCCUAUGGAGCUGGUAGGAUACCUACAAAGACCAGGGAGGGGAAAGGAAUGAGGCACUCACUUCUUCCAGUCUGUGCUGGGUUCAGUGGGAUUUGGCUCCAGAUUAGAAUGCGUUCAUUUGUGUGGCAUUUCAGAGCAUUGACAGAUUAAAGAAGACAUUCUGGUUUC